AACGAACGCUGGCGGCAUGCCUAACACAUGCAAGUCGAACGAGACCUUCGGGUCUAGUGGCGCACGGGUGCGUAACGCGUGGGAACCUGCCCUUAGGUUCGGAAUAACUCCCCGAAAGGGGUGCUAAUACCGGAUAAUGUCUUCGGACCAAAGAUUUAUCGCCUUUGGAUGGGCCCGCGUUGGAUUAGCUAGUUGGUAGGGUAAAAGCCUACCAAGGCGACGAUCCAUAGCUGGUCUGAGAGGAUGAUCAGCCACACUGGGACUGAGACACGGCCCAGACUCUUAGGGGGGGAGGAGGGGGGAAAUAUUGAAAAAGGGGCGAAGGCCUGACCGAGCAUGGCCGCGUGAGUAUUGAGGCCUUUGGGGUUGAAAAGCUCUUUUACCCGGGAGGAUAAUGACAGUCCCGGGAGAAUAAGCCCCGGCUAACCCCGUG
rnacentral:rRNA from 1 species